rnacentral:rRNA from 1 species
GAUGAACGCUGGCGGCGUGCUUAACACAUGCAAGUCGAACGGAACGGCCCUGCUUUUGUGGGGUGCUCGUGUGGCGAACGGGUGUGUAACACGGGAGUAGACUGGCCUUGACUUUGGUAAAGCUUCAGGAAACUGGGGAUAGUACCGGAUAGGAGCUCCAGAUGACUGGUGGGGGUUGGUAAGAUAAGGAGGUCGGGGAUGGACUUGUGGAUUAUCAGCUUGUUGGUGGGGUAGUGGCCUACCAAGGCUCUGACGGGUAGCCGACCUGCUAUGGUAGCCGGCAACAAUGGAACGGAGAUACGGCCCGGACUCCUACGGGACGCAGCAGUGGGGAAUAUUGCACUAUGGGCGGAGGCCUGAUGCAGCAACGCCGCGUGCGGGAAGACAGCCAUCAGGUUGGAAUCCGCUGUCGCAUGAGACGAAGCGUGAGUGACGGUAAUGGGUAAAGAAGCACCGGCUAACUACGUG